rnacentral:sRNA from 1 species
GUCGAUGCAGCUGUAGUGACAAUCUCAGAGCAGCUUCUACACCACAGCCAUUUCCAGCAUGAAGAUCACUGGGGGUCUCCUUCUGCUCUGUACAGUGGUCUAUUUCUGUAGCAGCUCAGAAGCUGCUAGUCUGUCUCCAAAAAAAGUAAGUAUGUUGAAUAACAUUUUAAUGUCAGUAACUAUUGACUGUCAUUUAGUCAACAUAUAUGUAGGAUAAAUUAUGUUUAGGGGGAUUCGAGAGGGAGGCAAACACACAUGGAGAAAUGGUAUCUGUUCUCCAGAAGGCAACUGAAGAAAUAUGACAUACAUAUAAACAACCAUAUUUUAAAAAUGUUUUUUAAAAAUGCCAGAGUUAAAGAAGGGAGAACUGCCUUCCAGCUGAGAGGUUGGUGAUGUUUUCAUAAAAGGCAUAACGUGUAAAAGGCAGAGCAAAAGUACCCUGAUAAAUUGCACAGGCUCUGGAUUCAAAUCCUAACUCUACUACUUACCAGCAUUUAUCUUCAACAAGUUAUCUCUAUUUCUAAGCUUUAAUUUUCACAUUUGUAAAGAGAGGUAAUAGUAGAAUUUACUCUAGUUGUUCUGAAGAUUAAACAAGAAAAUUCAUGUAAGAUUUAAGUUUAACGCCUAGCCCAGAAAUGCCCAGCAAUUGUUAACUGAGUGUAGCAGAAAAAAACAGAAUACCAGUAGUGCUAGUAUUUGUCAUAGUGAUAACACUAGUACUUAAAAAAGUGGCCAAGCAACAUCUGAAUAUCUGAGCUGGGACUUCCAGCCCUUGUAGUAUAUCUAAUAGUGGCCUAGCUUGGGGUCUGGGAGGAAAACAGGACAUUUGCUUGUAUAUGACACAGGUGGAUUGCAGCAUUUACAAGAAGUAUCCAGUGGUGGCCAUUCCCUGCCCCAUCACAUACCUGCCAGUUUGUGGUUCUGACUACAUCACCUAUGGGAAUGAAUGUCACUUGUGUACCGAGAGCUUGUGAGUACCUCAUAAGAAGAAAAUGAGAUCUGGAGUCAGUGCUCUCUACUACAAACGCUUCUACUUUCCAGGAUCCAGCUUAAAUCUCUAUAAGCUGUAAUUUAUAAUUAUUCCCACCCAGAACAGCAGGUGGGGAUAGAAAACUGACUGUUGCACAAUCAGACAGGGUAGAGUCACCUGCUCUGCCAGCUUGGACUAGUCCCAUCCCAUCACAGAACCUCCAGUUCCUGUCUGUCAAUUGUGAGAAUCCAGUAA